CAAUGAAAUAGAGCUUUAGGAACUACUGGACACUGGCUCUGAGCUGACACUGAUUCCAGGAGACCCAACAUAUCACUCCAGUCCACCAGUUACAGUAGAGGCCUAUAGAGUUCUGAAUGCAUAAUUGAAUAGACAUACUUAGCAGCUGGCAAAAUCUCCACCUUGGUUCUUUGACCUGUGGAGUGAGGCCAAUAUGGUGAGAAAGGCCAAGUGGAAGCCACUAGAACUGCCUCAACCUAGGAAAAUAGCAAACCAAAAGAAAUGCCAUGUUCCUGGAGGGAUUUACAAAGGGAAGUCAGCUGCCAUGUUGCAAUUUGCCCUCUGGAGAGACCCACUUCAUAAGGAAGGGAAGAAGGACUCUGGCCAAGAGUCAGUGAGAAAUUGAAUAUCCCAAUCCAUCAACCUGCAAGGAACUGAUCCUGCCAAAAAGCACACAACUUAGUUUGCCAGCAGAUCCCCCUCAAGUUGAGGCUUCAGAUGAUACUACAUACUUGGCCGACAGCUUGAUUGCAAACUCAGGACAUAUCUUGAAGCAAAGGCAGUCAAUUGAGCUGAACUUGUGUCUUGGAUUUAAAAAAAAAAUGAAAAAAUAUUUUUUAAACCCGCUAAUAUUUUGGGUAAUUUAUCAUAGAGCAAUAGAUAACUCAUCCAUCAGCAAAAUAAACAAACAAAUAAAUAACAAUACAAAGAAUGUCACAUAAUGAUAAAGGGAUCAAUUCACUAAAAUUAUAUAGUAAUUUUAAAUAUAUAUGUACCUAAACAUCAAGCUGUGGGAUAUUU
rnacentral:lncRNA from 1 species